AAAGAAGGGGAGACGAAUGCAAUAACGACAAGUGUCCCACAGUACCAAGUUCUUAUGGUUCCUCCGCCAUACUAUCCAUAUCCAUAUGUCGUAGCAGCCUAGUUUCAACAACUAUUUCAGUAUCAACCAUAGUAUCAACAGCCUCCUCAGGCUCAACAAUAACAACAACAACCUCAAGGACCAGCUCCUCAAUGGAAGAAUAUUAACAACAUAGGC
rnacentral:lncRNA from 1 species